GUGGUGGUGCAUGGCCGUUCUUAGUUGGUGGAGUGAUUUGUCUGGUUAAUUCCGUUAACGAACGAGACCCCCGCCUGCUAAAUAGUACGAUCAAUGCUUAGCAUUGGUCUGUGCUUCUUAGAGGGACUUUUGGUGACUAACCAAAGGAAGUUGGGGGCAAUAACAGGUCUGUGAUGCCCUUAGAUGUCCUGGGCCGCACGCGCGCUACACUGACACACGCAACGAGUUUUUUCUUGUCCGAAAGGUCUGGAUAAUCUUUUAAAUGUGUGUCGUGAUAGGGAUAGAUUAUUGCAAUUAUUAAUCUUGAACGAGGAAUUCCUAGUAAACGCAAGUCAUCAGCUUGCAUUGAUUACGUCCCUGCCCUUUGUACACACCGCCCGUCGCACCUACCGAUUGAAUAGCUCGGUGAAAUCCUCGGACCGUAACCUAAGAGACCCUCGGGUCACUAGGAGAUGGGAAGUGGAUUAAACCUCGUGUUAGAGGAAGGGAAGUCGAACUUC
rnacentral:rRNA from 1 species